rnacentral:rRNA from 1 species
GAUGAACGCUGGCGGCGUGCCUAAUACAUGCAAGUCGAGCGAACGGACGAGAAGCUUGCUUCUCUGAUGUUAGCGGCGGACGGGUGAGUAACACGUGGAUAACCUACCUAUAAGACUGGGAUAACUUCGGGAAACCGGAGCUAAUACCGGAUAAUAUUUUGAACCGCAUGGUUCAAAAGUGAAAGACGGUCUUGCUGUCACUUAUAGAUGGAUCCGCGCUGCAUUAGCUAGUUGGUAAGGUAACGGCUUACCAAGGCAACGAUGCAUAGCCGACCUGAGAGGGUGAUCGGCCACACUGGAACUGAGACACGGUCCAGACUCCUACGGGAGGCAGCAGUAGGGAAUCUUCCGCAAUGGGCGAAAGCCUGACGGAGCAACGCCGCGUGAGUGAUGAAGGUCUUCGGAUCGUAAAACUCUGUUAUUAGGGAAGAAUAUAUGUGUAAGUAACUGUGCACAUCUUGACGGUACCUAAUCAGAAAGCCACGGCUAACUACGUGCCAGCAGCCGCGGUAAUACGUAGGUGGCAAGCGUUAUCCGGAAUUAUUGGGCGUAAAGCGCGCGUAGGCGGUUUUUUAAGUCUGAUGUGAAAGCCCACGGCUCAACCGUGGAGGGUCAUUGGAAACUGGAAAACUUGAGUGCAGAAGAGGAAAGUGGAAUUCCAUGUGUAGCGGUGAAAUGCGCAGAGAUAUGGAGGAACACCAGUGGCGAAGGCGACUUUCUGGUCUGUAACUGACGCUGAUGUGCGAAAGCGUGGGGAUCAAACAGGAUUAGGUACCCUGGUAGUCCGCGCCGUAAACGAUGAGUGCUAAGUGUUAGGGGGUUUCCGCCCCUUAGUGCUGCAGCUAACGCAUUAAGCACUCCGCCUGGGGAGUACGACCGCAAGGUUGAAACUCAAAGGAAUUGACGGGGACCCGCACAAGCGGUGGAGCAUGUGGUUUAAUUCGAAGCAACGCGAAGAACCUUACCAAAUCUUGACAUCCUUUGACAACUCUAGAGAUAGAGCCUUCCCCUUCGGGGGACAAAGUGACAGGUGGUGCAUGGUUGUCGUCAGCUCGUGUCGUGAGAUGUUGGGUUAAGUCCCGCAACGAGCGCAACCCUUAAGCUUAGUUGCCAUCAUUAAGUUGGGCACUCUAAGUUGACUGCCGGUGACAAACCGGAGGAAGGUGGGGAUGACGUCAAAUCAUCAUGCCCCUUAUGAUUUGGGCUACACACGUGCUACAAUGGACAAUACAAAGGGCAGCGAAACCGCGAGGUCAAGCAAAUCCCAUAAAGUUGUUCUCAGUUCGGAUUGUAGUCUGCAACUCGACUACAUGAAGCUGGAAUCGCUAGUAAUCGUAGAUCAGCAUGCUACGGUGAAUACGUUCCCGGGUCU